GACGAACGCUGGCGGCGUGCUUAACACAUGCAAGUCGAACGGAAAGGCUCCAGCUUGCUGGAGUACUCGAGUGGCGAACGGGUGAGUAACACGUGGGUAAUCUGCCCUGCACUCUGGGAUAAGCCUGGGAAACUGGGUCUAAUACUGGAUAUGACCUUUCUCCUUAUGGGGUUUGGUGGAAAGUUUUUCGGUGUAGGAUGAGCCCGCGGCCUAUCAGCUUGUUGGUGGGGUGAUGGCCUACCAAGGCGACGACGGGUAGCCGGCCUGAGAGGGUGAUCGGCCACAUUGGGACUGAGAUACGGCCCAGACUCCUACGGGAGGCAGCAGUGGGGAAUAUUGCACAAUGGGCGGAUGCCUGAUGCAGCGACGCCGCGUGAGGGAUGACGGCCUUCGGGUUGUAAACCUCUUUCAGCAGGGACGAAGCGUAAGUGACGGUACCUGCAGAAGAAGCACCGGCUAACUAUGUG
rnacentral:rRNA from 1 species